rnacentral:rRNA from 2 species
AUAAAAUGACUCUCGGCAACGGAUAUCUCGGCUCUUGCAUCGAUGAAGAACGUAGCGAAAUGCGAUACUUGGUGUGAAUUGCAGAAUCCCGUGAACCAUCGAGUCUUUGAACGCAAGUUGCGCCCGAAGCCAUUAGGUUGAGGGCACGCCUGCCUGGGUGUCACAC